CACCCGAUAGCACAUGGUGUGCACCUGCCCUACUUGUCUGGGAGUCUAUAAAAGAAGGUUGAGCAGGAGGGCCCCGUUCGAUUCGGGGUCGGGUGA